GAUGUAACGCUAGCUACAGGCUUAACACAUGCAAGUCGAGGGGCAGCAUUUCAGUUUGCUUGCAAACUGGAGAUGGCGACCGGCGCACGGGUGAGUAACACGUAUCCAACCUGCCGAUAACUCGGGGAUAGCCUUUCGAAAGAAAGAUUAAUACCCGAUGGUAUAAUCAGACCGCAUGGUCUUGUUAUUAAAGAAUUUCGGUUAUCGAUGGGGAUGCGUUCCAUUAGGCAGUUGGUGAGGUAACGGCUCACCAAACCUUCGAUGGAUAGGGGUUCUGAGAGGAAGGUCCCCCACAUUGGAACUGAGACACGGUCCAAACUCCUACGGGAGGCAGCAGUGAGGAAUAUUGGUCAAUGGGCGCAGGCCUGAACCAGCCAAGUAGCGUGAAGGAUGACUGCCCUAUGGGUUGUAAACUUCUUUUAUAUGGGAAUAAAGUUUUCCACGUGUGGAAUUUUGUAUGUACCAUAUGAAUAAGGAUCGGCUAACUCCGUGCCAGCAGCCGCGGUAAUACGGAGGAUCCGAGCGUUAUCCGGAUUUAUUGGGUUUAAAGGGAGCGUAGGUGGACAGUUAAGUCAGUUGUGAAAGUUUGCGGCUCAACCGUAAAAUUGCAGUUGAUACUGGCUGUCUUGAGUACAGUAGAGGUGGGCGGAAUUCGUGGUGUAGCGGUGAAAUGCUUAGAUAUCACGAAGAACUCCGAUUGCGAAGGCAGCUCACUGGACUGCAACUGACACUGAUGCUCGAAAGUGUGGGUAUCAAACAGGAUUAGAUACCCUGGUAGUCCACACAGUAAACGAUGAAUACUCGCUGUUUGCGAUAUACAGUAAGCGGCCAAGCGAAAGCAUUAAGUAUUCCACCUGGGGAGUACGCCGGCAACGGUGAAACUCAAAGGAAUUGACGGGGGCCCGCACAAGCGGAGGAACAUGUGGUUUAAUUCGAUGGUACGCGAGGAACCUUACCCGGGCUUAAAUUGCAUUUGAAUAUAUUGGAAACAGUAUAGCCGUAAGGCAAAUGUGAAGGUGCUGCAUGGUUGUCGUCAGCUCGUGCCGUGAGGUGUCGGCUUAAGUGCCAUAACGAGCGCAACCCUUAUCUUUAGUUACUAACAGGUCAUGCUGAGGACUCUAGAGAGACUGCCGUCGUAAGAUGUGAGGAAGGUGGGGAUGACGUCAAAUCAGCACGGCCCUUACGUCCGGGGCUACACACGUGUUACAAUGGGGGGUACAGAAGGCAGCUACCUGGUGACAGGAUGCUAAUCCCAAAAGCCUCUCUCAGUUCGGAUCGAAGUCUGCAACCCGACUUCGUGAAGCUGGAUUCGCUAGUAAUCGCGCAUCAGCCAUGGCGCGGUGAAUACGUUCCCGGGCCU
rnacentral:rRNA from 1 species